UAAAAACCCCGACUUCGGAAGGGGUGUAUUUAUUAGAUACAAAACCAAUGCCCUUCGGGGCUCUUUGGUGAUUCAUGAUAACUAUACGAAUCGCACGGCCUUGCGCCGGCGAUGGUUCAUUCAAAUUUCUUCCCUAUCAACUUUCGAUGUUUGGGUAUUGGCCAAACAUGGUUGCAACGGGUAACGGAGGGUUAGGGCUCGACCCCGGAGAAGGAGCCUGAGAAACGGCUACUACAUCCAAGGAAGGCAGCAGGCGCGCAAAUUACCCAGUCCCGACUCGGGGAGGUAGUGACAAUAAAUACUGAUACAGGGCCCUUUCGGGCCUUGUAAUUGGAAUGAGUACAAUUUAAAUCCCUUAACGAGGAACAAUUGGAGGGCAAGUCUGGUGCCAGCAGCCGCGGUAAUUCCAGCUCCAAUAGCGUAUAUUAAAGUUGUUGUGGUUAAAAAGCUCGUAGUUGAACCUUGGGCCUGGCUGGCCGGUCCGCCUCACCGCGUGCACUGGUCCGGCCGGGCCUUUCCCUCUGUGGAACCCCAUACCCUUCACUGGGCGUGGCGGGGAAACAGGACAUUUACUUU
rnacentral:rRNA from 1 species